AGAAUAUAUUUAUUCUUAAAGUUGAUUAAUGAUGUUAUAUGCUCGGACGCUUCUUGCAUGGUUAAGAGUUUGUUCAUUUAUCUUAAUUUCAUGGGUAUAUACUAUGUAAGUAUUUAUAAAUGAAUAUUAUUUCUUAUACAUUAAUCUUGGAAAA
rnacentral:ncRNA from 1 species